UAGGGAAUCUUCGGCAAUGGACGAAAGUCUGACCGAGCAACGCCGCGUGCGUGAAGAAGGUUUUCGGAUCGUAAAACUCUGUUGUUAGAGAAGAACAAGGACGUUAGUAACUGAACGUCCCCUGACGGUAUCUAACCAGAAAGCCACGGCUAACUACGUGCCAGCAGCCGCGGUAAUACGUAGGUGGCAAGCGUUGUCCGGAUUUAUUGGGCGUAAAGCGAGCGCAGGCGGUUUCUUAAGUCUGAUGUGAAAGCCCCCGGCUCAACCGGGGAGGGUCAUUGGAAACUGGGAGACUUGAGUGCAGAAGAGGAGAGUGGAAUUCCAUGUGUAGCGGUGAAAUGCGUAGAUAUAUGGAGGAACACCAGUGGCGAAGGCGGCUCGCUGGUCUGUAACUGACGCUGAGGCUCGAAAGCGUGGGGAGCAAACAGG
rnacentral:rRNA from 1 species